rnacentral:ncRNA from 1 species
CGGGGCACCUCGGGGUGCUGUGAUCCCACAGCUGAGAUGCGCAAUGCGCGGACCCGUAGAACCUGAACCGGCUAACACCGGCGGAGGGAAGGUGAUUUGGAUGUCC